rnacentral:other from 1 species
GCGGAGCUGCGGGGUGCGUCAGGAGACAUUAUCCCCGGGGCCUUAUCGAUCCUUCAGGGAGCUGUCCCUGGCCGGACCCGUGGGUCCGGACACACGGCGCCCACCUACUUUCGUAGGGAACCCGGGAUCGAGCGCUCCAACGGCCACUGUGGCUUCGCA